rnacentral:rRNA from 1 species
GAAUUCACUAGUGAUUCAGGCCUAACACAUGCAAGUCGAACGGAAAGGCCCUGCUUGCAGGGUACUCGAGUGGCGAACGGGUGAGUAACACGUGGGUGAUCUGCCCUGCACUUCGGGAUAAGCCUGGGAAACUGGGUCUAAUACCGGAUAGGACCAUCGUUUAGUGUCGGUGGUGGAAAGUUUUUCGGUGCAGGAUGAGCUCGCGGCCUAUCAGCUUGUUGGUGGGGUAAUGGCCUACCAAGGCGUCGACGGGUAGCCGGCCUGAGAGGGUGGACGGCCACAUUGGGACUGAGACACGGCCCAGACUCCUACGGGAGGCAGCAGUGGGGAAUAUUGCACAAUGAGGGCAAGCCUGAUGCAGCGACGCCGCGUGGGGGAUGAAAACGGUCGGGUUGUAAACUCCUUUCAGCCAUGACGAAGCAUUAUGUGACGGUA